GGGAAGGUGGCUCAGUGGUAGAGUGCUUGCCUUGCACGCAUGAGACAGGUUCCAUUCCU
rnacentral:tRNA from 1 species